CUAAUACUCCCUCCGUUCUGAUUACUUGUCUUGGAUUUGUCUAGAUACAGAAGUAUCUAGAAUUACUUGUCUUGGAUUUGUCUAGAUACAGAAGUAUCUAGCACUAAAAUGAGUCUAGAUACAUCCGUAUCUAGACAAAUCCAAGACAAGUAAUUCAGAACGGAGGGAGUACGAU
rfam:Triticum aestivum genome assembly, contig: Triticum_aestivum_CS42_TGACv1_scaffold_210794_3AS